GCCCCCAGCGCGCCCACGCCGUGCCCGCAGUGCCGGCCUGCUCCAGGCAGACGCCCAGCACUCUUGGGUCCGGUGCCGCCUCCCCGGCCGUGUGGCCCAGGCAGAGCGCGGCCAUCACGCAACCCAGCAGCCCUGCCGCCGCCGCCAUCGCCCGCCGCCCUCUCUUGGCCUCCGCGCAGCCUACCUCCGCCUCCACCGGCCAAUCGGCGCCGGCCUCGCGUCCCCUCCUCCAAUGGGCGGUGCGCGAGGGCGGGCCCAGGCCGUUAGGCUGCGCCGGCGCGUAAACAAGUGGCGCGGGCCGGGGCGACCGGGGGGCGGGCCUCGCGCUCGGAGAAGGCGGGGCCAGGAGUCGGGGCGGGCAGCAGCGGGCGGAGGUCUCAGUGGGAGGGCGGCAUACCGCUUUCUGAGGCAAGGCCUGGCUAUCAACGGCCUCGAGGCAGGACAGCUGAAGGGAGAACCGGGACUGAGCAUCGGGAAGCUAAGGUUCCAUUCCGUAGGAUGUCGUGAGGGAGUCUGUCCCCGCUGCAGGAGAAAAGUGAAGCGUGAGUCGGCACGGAAGUUGACUUCCAGCGCGACCUGCCUUCUACUCCCUCAUCCCCCAGCCCCUUUCAGAGACCUGUCAGAAAUGCCUAGAUCUGCCCCUGCACUUCACCGCUUCCCGGGUCUCAGGCUCCCAGGGAAAAUGACCUGUAACUCAUUGUGUUGCGGAAACCUUUGGACACUCACUCGGAGCGACUGAGUCACACCGACAAUCUUCUGGACUGUCGUGCCUCGGACCUGAAUGAAGUUCAGGGUGAAGGGGUCACGAGUACUUUCCUGCUAAGCAGAAGCCUCGCCCAUUGAUACCUCACCGGCUUUUUUCCAGUCCCUUGGUUAGUCACAGCAUCAAUGGAGACACUUGCCAUUUGACCUUCAUGUCCCUCUCCCCUCCCUGGGCCAUUUUCUUUACUAGUCAUCUGGUUCAAUACAAUUACUUCCAUAUUAUAUCUAAAUACUUGAGUUUCAAA